CUACGGGCUGCUCCAGUGGGGAAUAUUGGACAAUGGGGGAAACCCUGAUCCAGCAAUGCCGCGUGUGUGAAGAAGGCCUGCGGGUUGUAAAGCACUUUCGGUUGGGAGGACUGCUUCUAGCACUAAUAUUGUUGGAAGUUGACGUUACCUUCAGAAGAAGCACCGGCUAACUCCGUGCCAGCAGCCGCGGUAAUACGGAGGUGCAAGCGUUAAUCGGAAUUACUGGGCGUAAAGCGCGCGUAGGCGGCUAGAUCAGUCGGGUGUGAAAGCCCCGGGCUUAACCUGGGAACUGCAUCCGAUACUGUCUAGCUUGAGUACAGGAGAGGAGAGUGGAAUUCCACAUGUAGCGGUGAAAUGCGUAGAUAUGUGGAGGAACACCAAUGGCGAAGGCAGCCCUCUGGCCUGAUACUGACGCUGAGGUGCGAAAGCGUGGGGAGCAAACAGGAUUAGAUACCCCAGUAGUC
rnacentral:rRNA from 1 species